rnacentral:rRNA from 1 species
GGAGUUAGCCGGUGCUUAUUCUGCGAGUAACGUCACAGAUGUAAGGUAUUAACUUACACCCUUUCCUCCUCGCUGAAAGUGCUUUACAACCCGAAGGCCUUCUUCACACACGCGGCAUGGCUGCAUCAGGGUUUCCCCCAUUGUGCAAUAUUCCCCACUGCUGCCUCCCGUAGGAGUCUGGGCCGUGUCUCAGUCCCAGUGUGGCUGAUCAUCCUCUCAGACCAGCUAGGGAUCGUCGCCUAGGUGAGCCUUUACCUCACAUACUAGCUAAUCCCACCUGGGCUUAUCCAUCAGCGCAAGGCCCGAAGGUCCCCUGCUUUCCCCCGUAGGGCGUAUGCGGUAUUAGCAGUCGUUUCCAACUGUUAUCCCCCACAAAUGGGCAAAUUCCCAGGCAUUACUCACCCGUCCGCCGCUCGUCAUCUUCAAAAGCAAGCUUUUGAAAUGUUACCGCUCGACUUGCAUGUGUUAGGCCUGCCGCCAGCGUUCAAUCUGAGCCAGAAUCGAACCCUGA